GUGCCAGCCGCCGCGGUAAAACGUAGGGGGCGAGCGUUGUCCGGAAUUACUGGGCGUAAAGGGUGCGUAGGCGGCUAUUUAAGUCAGAUGUGAAAGGCUACGGCUCAACCGUAGUAAGCAUUUGAAACUGAAUAGCUUGAGUCAAGGAGAGGGAAGUGGAAUUCCUGGUGUAGCGGUGAAAUGCGUAGAUAUCAGGAGGAAUACCAGUAGCGAAGGCGACUUCCUGGCCUUAGACUGACGCUGAGGCACGAAAGCGUGGGGAGCAAACAGGAUUAGAUACCCUGGUAGUCCACGCCGUAAACGAUGAGUGCUAGGUGUUGGGGAGGUUACUCUUCAGUGCCGCAGCUAACGCAAUAAGCACUCCGCCUGGGGAGUACGUACGCAAGUAUGAAACUCAAAUGAAUUGACGG
rnacentral:rRNA from 1 species